GAUGAACGCUGGCGGCGUGCCUAAUACAUGCAAGUCGAGCGAACAGAUGAGGAGCUUGCUCCUCUGACGUUAGCGGCGGACGGGUGAGUAACACGUGGAUAACCUACCUAUAAGACUGGGAUAACUUCGGGAAACCGGAGCUAAUACCGGAUAAUAUAUUGAACCGCAUGGUUCAAUAGUGAGAGACGGUUUUGCUGUCACUUAUAGAUGGAUCCGCGCCGCAUUAGCCAGUUGGUAAGGUAACGGCUUACCAAGGCAACGAUGCGUAGCCGACCUGAGAGGGUGAUCGGCCACACUGGAACUGAGACACGGUCCAGACUCCUACGGGAGGCAGCAGUAGGGAAUCUUCCGCAAAGGGCGAAAGCCUGACGGAGCAACGCCGCGUGAGUGAUGAAGGUCUUCGGAUCGUAAAACUCUGUUAUUAGGGAAGAACAAAUGUGUAAGUAACUAUGCACGUCUUGACGGUACCUAAUCAGAAAGCCACGGCUAACUACGUG
rnacentral:rRNA from 1 species